CUCAUAAUAUAAAUGACUACUGUGAAAUUGAGACUAAUAUACCAAUCGCACAGAGACCUUUAAAAUGACACCAAACAUGAAAAGUUUACAAUCAUGAAUCCUGAAGAUAUAGUAAAUGUUUUAUGUGAGCGUAACAACUUUUAGUUGCCUGGACCAUGUGCCCAGGGGGAAGGAUGGGUGAAGGUACCAAAGAGCAAAUGGUCUUUCUUCCAGAUCUUCCUAUCUGUUUGUUUGGCUCCACUAGGAGAUCAAAGCCCAUUGUUUUGGUGCAUCUGCAUUUGCAUUGCGAGAGUUCCUGAAAGUCUGGCUUCACAAAGAAUUCAUUUCAAAUAAUUUCACUCCUUACAAGCCCUUAUUUUCCAUUUCUGAAGUUAAUUGGCAACUCUAAUGAUGAUGUAAUUAUCUUUUGACUCCCCUUCCUUAAAAAAAUAUAAUAUAAAUAAAUAAAUAAAAACACCUCAGUUGUAGGAGAUAUGCGAGCGAAUAAUAGAUUUAAAAAAGAAAAAAAGUGUGCUUGGUUUCCGAAAUAGAAUUGAAGUGGCUUAAUUUAAAAUAAAUAUUAGUUACCAGCCAAGAUCCUCAAUCCAAAGUUGCAAAUUUAACUUAUGCGCAAAAUUGGAAUAUCGCACAAAACAUUUGCAAACAAGUAGCGUUUCCAUCCAAUGAGUCAAAGAGAACAAAAUCAUCACUUCCUGAUAAACUGGCAAUAUUCAUCAUUAAGAAAAGUAGGAGAAGCUACUGAAUAUUAUUGUUUUCCUAUAUAAUAAAUUACUUGCACCUCAGAAUGAGCAGACGAAACACAAAUAUUUGUGGUUAUUGCUUUCUGAGGAGGAUGCUGCUGUUUCGUGGCACAGUCGUUUAACAGUGCUAAAAGGCAAUUAUACAGAAAUACUUAGAUGACAGACUUUGCCCAGGAAUUUCCGAAUGACCAUAUAACAUUUCAGAUGCUGUGGAAUGAGAUCGGUCCACUGGUUAGUCAGGAUUUACCGUCCAUAGCACAAAGUCACAUUACUUUUUCGUAUGCGCUCGGAGGUUAAUUUUUUUUCGUUAAAAAUUAACCUUUUGCGCACAGGUCAAAAACCACCUCAAGUGAGCUUAAAAACUUUUCUGUGAAUUAAGGCAUUUUUAUUUGAAAUUCAGCUUUUCAUCACUUGAUUCUGAUGCAAUACUUUAAAAUGCGCAUAAAAGCAGGUGAUGGAAACCCAGCUAUAGAUGACAGAGAAGUUAAAACACAUGUUUGCAGGAGAUUGAAAUAAAGUGCUGGUUUGUUUAUAGAUAGAUGGAAGUGCUAUCAAUCCAGUCUUUAUUUCAUUUCCUCUGAGAUGAAAAACUGGACUGAGAGCAGUAGAUACUGUAGAGAGAGAGGAGCAGAUCUGAUCAUCAUCAACACACAGAGGAACAAGUGUGUGUGUGUGUGUGUGUGUGUGUGUGUGUGUGUGUGUGUGUGUGUGUGUGUGUGUGUGUGAGAUAAUGUUUUACUGUUAAAUGACACUGUGCAAAAAUGUACCUGUUUUCAGUUUAUGAUAUAAUUUAAUUAUUGUUUCUCAGUAUUUUGUGAAGAACAUUUCUGGUAGUUCUGAGCUUUUCUGAACUGAAAUGAUUAUUAUAUAAUAAAUGAUUGUCACAGUCAGUAUCAUAUCACACAGAAAGCAGCUCUAAAGAUCUAAAGCUGAUCUGUUGAUGCAGGUUCUGGGCGUCUGGAGAACCAAACAGCUAUCAGGGAAAAGAGGAAGACACUGCUCUGAAUUAUUCUCCAGGAUGGGCUGAUUUUCCAUGUGAUGAUGUGUACAAAUGGAUCUGUGAGAAGAACAUUUUGAAAUGACUCAUUACAAUAAACUUUUAUUGAACAUCUAAAUAUGUCUGUUAAACAUCAAGUCGUGUAUUUAGUAAUUUACCAGUUUUUAUUUUGUACAUUUUAAUUAGGUUAUCAUGUAAAAAUAAAUAAAAUAAAAACCAAUUGUAAUAUUACAACUUUUACAUUAAACAAUUUAAAAUCACUUUGUUUUCAAUGUUCAGUCAAACUUUG
rnacentral:lncRNA from 1 species